AAAUCACUAGUACCAAAACCUACAUGUCCUCUCACUCUCUGUUUUCGGCGAGCUAGUUUGGCGAGGCUUUGAUGGCCUGUAGCUCCUCCUAGGUAACUGAGGCACCCAUUUUAUCCGUAGUUGAGGGGGUUCUGGCCAGUCAACCAUUUGACGAAGACCAAGCUCCGAUGGAAGAUCCUUAAGCUCAACCGCGGACAUCGCUCUCUCAUGUUACCUUCAUGUUUCAUGUUUGGGCUAGAUGAUGCCCAACAUAUUUAUGGUCUAAUGGAUAUAUACUCCCGGAUUCUCACGUUCACGUUAUGGACGGUUUGGCUAGUUAGUAGAGUUAGGGGGCCCCUAGAUGUCAUGUCAAGUAUAUCAUGUUAAGUCUAAUCGUGUAUGUAACCUCUAAUAACACAAAUGUCGAAUUGUCAUCCUAAUGUGAAUAUGUACUCAAGAACUAAAAGGUAAUGUAAAACGCUAAAAGUUAAGCGCGUAAGACUGACCCCAAAUCACUAUCCAGGUCAGACUAGGGACACCGGCAUGGAGACGGCUUGCAAGAACUGUAGUGGCUGCUGAAGAUGUCACAAGGCUCAGAGUGAGUUGCUUUCGAGGAUGGACUACCAUAUAUACUUUCUUUGGAGUUUUAGUAUGAUACUUAGUUUGCUUUUUGAUGUUUUUCGGACUUGAUUUCGGAUUCUCUAUUUGCACACUAGUUAGGGCCGGUUUACUUUGGAUUAAUGUUUGGUUUUGGAAGACUAUCCACAUUGCUAUUUUGGCUAUCUUUUGAGUUUUGUGUUCGCCCAGGACAGUUGGUAUUUAAAUAAAUGUAAAAGUUUGUGAAAAUUUUAGGUCGUGUCAGUUGCACAAGCCAAUCAACCCGCAAGAGGACAAAACCAACUAAUUACCAAUGCCUAGUCAGCAAAAGGCGUACAUGACAGCGGUCUACGAGUGUGGGGGUAGGGG
rnacentral:lncRNA from 1 species